UACAGGGGGGGCAAGCGUUGUUCGGAAUUACUGGGCGUAAAGGGUUCGUAGGUGGCUUGCUAAGUCAGACGUGAAAUCCCUCAGCUUAACUGGGGAACUGCGUCUGAUACUGGCGAGCUUGAGUGCAGGAGAGGAACGCGGAAUUCCAGGUGUAGCGGUGAAAUGCGUAGAUAUCUGGAGGAACACCGGUGGCGAAGGCGGCGUUCUGGACUGCAACUGACACUGAAAAACGAAAGCCAGGGGAGCAAACGGG
rnacentral:rRNA from 1 species